GAUCCUGGCUUAGGAUGAACGCUGGCGGCGUGCUUAACACAUGCAAGUCGAACGGAGCUUAGAAGGAAGCUUGCUUCAUUUAAGCUUAGUGGCGGACGGGUGAGUAACGCGUGAGCAACCUGCCCUCGAGUGGGGAAUAACAUCGAGAAAUCGGUGCUAAUACCGCAUAAUGUCGAGAGACCGCAUGAUCUUUCGACCAAAGGAUUUAUUCGCUUGAGGAUGGGCUCGCGUCCGAUUAGCUAGUUGGUGAGGUAACGGCCCACCAAGGCUUCGAUCGGUAGCCGAACUGAGAGGUUGAUCGGCCACAUUGGGACUGAGACACGGCCCAGACUCCUACGGGAGGCAGCAGUGGGGAAUAUUGGGCAAUGGGCGAAAGCCUGACCCAGCAACGCCGCGUGAAGGAUGAAGGUCUUCGGAUUGUAAACUUCUUUGAUUGGGGAAGAAUAAAAUGACCUACCCAAAGAACAAGCCACGGCUAACUACGUGCCAGCCGCUGC
rnacentral:rRNA from 1 species